rnacentral:rRNA from 1 species
GACGAACGCUGGCGGCGUGCUUAACACAUGCAAGUCGAACGGUGAAGGGACCGGUUUUUGCUGGUUCUGGAUGAGUGGCGAACGGGUGAGUAACACGUGAGUAACCUGCCCCCUUCUUCUGGAUAACCGCAUGAAAGUGUGGCUAAUACGGGAUAUUCUGCGCCUGCUGCAUGGUGGGUGUGGGAAAGAUAUUGUUUCGGUGGGGGAUGGGCUCGCGGCCUAUCAGCUUGUUGGUGGGGUGAUGGCCUACCAAGGCGGUGACGGGUAGCCGGCCUGAGAGGGUGGACAGUCACACUGGGACUGAGACACGGCCCAGACUCCUACGGGAGGCAGCAGUGGGGAAUAUUGCACAAUGGGCGCAAGCCUGAUGCAGCGACGCCGCGUGAGGGAUGGAGGCCUUCGGGUUGUAAACCUCUUUCGCCAGUGAAGCAGGCCUGUCCCUUUUGUGGGUGGGUUGACGGUAGCUGGAUAAGAAGCGCCGGCUAACUACGUG